AUUUUGCCCAGCCAGUGCUAUAGUUCUAUUAAGUUAAUGCCAUCUAAAACUUCCUCAUUUCUGAUUUCAAAAGUUACAGGCUUAGUAUUCUGUAGGUUUUACUCAUAGCAAUUCCACUGAAAUUGUAUAUUCUAUACUACUUUGUGGAAAAAUUAUCCAGAAACAAGAUCACAUUGCUAUUUUUCAUUGCUCAUGUGUCCCUUUAGGUCCUCUUAAAGCUAUUUCUUUUCCUUCUUUAUACUAAAUAUACUUUAUCUUGUCAUAUCAUAUGCAUCUUUGUAAAAAAUCCCAAAUCCUGUUUGAAACAAAGGGGAAUAUAAAUAAAACUAAAGAUACUAUAGUCAAUGUGCAUGCCUAAUCCCCCUAUCAGAGAGUGACCUCUUGUAGGUAAGGAGGAUGCAUUGCCCCACCUUGAAAUCCCCAUAACAUCUAACGCUGCGCUUUCACUGCUGAGUGAAUAUUUGGGGAAUUAAAUAGCAGAAUAUGUAAAUGUUGAUAACACUGUGUUACCCGAAUUAUAAAAUAAGCAGUAUGCCAAUGAAUUGGUCUUUUACCCUCAAAAAUUCACACAAGUUUGAAAAGAUAUACAGUAUUUAUAAGAG
rnacentral:lncRNA from 1 species